GAAACAGCCGAUCAGUAAAACGCUCGCUGAUUGGAUGCUAUAAACGGUGUAACCAAUCAACUUGCGUAAAACAGAUCGAUGUUCGUCGUGAGUCGCAACAUGGCGGACGGUGAAGAAGCAUUUGUAUCGGGAGGUGGAGAAAUACCGCUCUGAGAUUGCAUCUCCAUUGGACACUGACCCCCAGGUAUGGUGGAGGAGUCAUGAGAAUGACUAUCCUAAUCUGAGCAGACUGGCCAAGCACACCCUCCAUAUUCCAGCCACAUCUGUUGCAAGCGAGAGGGUCUUCAGUGUAGCCGGUGAUGUUGUGACUGCCACCCGAAGCAGACUGGCCCCAGACAUGGUGGACGUACUAGUGUUCCUAAAGCAUAACUUGUGAAGUUUUGAACUUUCCUGUCAUCACGCAGCACGUUUGGUUUGGUUAUAAUACAGUGUUUGGUUAAUUAACAUUAUGACUUAUAAAGUUAUGGCAAUGGUAUGCCAUUAUGUGUUAGACUCUUGUAAAACAGAAGCAUUUUAAGUGUUGUGACUAUAUUAUAAAGUAACAUGCCAUGUUGAAUUGUUGACAGUUAAACUAAUGUAUAUAAGUUAAUGUGCUAGAUUGCUAGUAGCCUCGUACCAGUAAAUGAGACAGUGUACUGUGUAGUGUUUGCAAACUUUGCAUAAUAUUUACAUUUUAAUUGAUUAACCUUACAAAGAUGUGCCACACUCUUAAUGUGUUUUGUCUAGUCACUUGUAAGUUGAUGUUUUCUAGUCAUUUGUUUAAGUUUCUUACCUAAUUAAUAUAUUUGACAGUUAAAAUAAAUAUAAACCCAAA